AUUGAACGCUGGCGGCAGGCUUAACACAUGCAAGUCGAGCGGGGGAAGGUAGCUUGCUACCGGACCUAGCGGCGGACGGGUGAGUAAUGCUUAGGAAUCUGCCUAUUAGUGGGGGACAACAUCUCGAAAGGGAUGCUAAUACCGCAUACGUCCUACGGGAGAAAGCAGGGGAUCUUCGGACCUUGCGCUAAUAGAUGAGCCUAAGUCGGAUUAGCUAGUUGGUGGGGUAAAGGCCUACCAAGGCUACGAUCUGUAGCGGGUCUGAGAGGAUGGUCGGCGACACUGGGACUGAGACACGGCACAGACUCCUACGGGAGGCAGCAGUGGGGAAUAUUGGACAAUGGGGGGAACCGUGAUCCAGCCAUGCCGCGUGUGUGAAGAAGGCCUUAUGGUUGUAAAGCACUUUAAGCGAGGAGGAGGCUACUCUAGUUAAUACCUGGAGAUAGUGGACGUUACUCGCAGAAUAAGCACCGGCUAACUCUGUGCCAGCCGCCGCCUUAA
rnacentral:rRNA from 1 species